UUGGAUGGCCACCUGUCUGGGAUGCUUUAGCUGAGAUUCCUGCAUUGUAGGGGGUGGACUAGAUGCCCCUUGGGUUCCUUCCAACUCUAUGAUUCUGUGACCCAUGGAAACGUUGCACAAUGAACCACCACAAUAGCGAAGUCAAUCCACCCCCUUCAGAGAGCUAAUCUGUAGUCACACCUGUGCCACACCUGAGCAUCCAUGACUACAGAGUAUACACAAACGUCGGGCCUGGGACUGCCCCACGUCUUGUUUGAGGCCAGUCUGGUGUAAAGGCUGUUGAGAGAGCAGGGACAGAACAGGUGGGAUCUAUUGUUUAUGGAGCAUAUUAUUUCGGUCAGAAUCAAACUUUGCCCUCUUGUGAAUUGCAGGGGGUUGGACUAGAUGGCCCUCGUGGUCCCUUCCAACUCUACAGUUCUGUGAUUCAGAUUUAGAAAUUGAUAGAUUGAGGUGGGCAGGUUAGUUUUCAGGUUGAUCUUUCCUUUUUCUUUUUUUUCACCAAAAGAAUUCCCUCUUUCAUCAACAGGAUUUGCAGCUUAAAGAAACUAAAAUGCAGGUUAAGGAGGAGAUUAUCCAUUAGGGAAAAGAAAUUCAAAGGCGUUGUUGAUUUCCCCUGCUUCCUAGAUCAAGUUUUGAACCGAUUCCAGGCUGUUGUAAUUAAUUAUAAAGUUGGCGGGAUUACUGCAAGGCUCGGAUGCUGUAGAAGUAGCAUUUGGUUUGUAGGCAGUGUAGUUAGCUGAUUGUAACCGUUUUCCCGAGCAAUCACUAGCUUCACUGUUAUCAAAACAAGGCGCAGAAUUCCCCCAAUGGCAGACCUCACCAGCACUGCAGAAAACAUCCGGAAAGCUGGUUCUCGGCUUGAACCCAAAGAAUUACUAUCUCUCUCUGUUCAUAAUAUCCUGUUUCUUCGUAGAAGCCACCAGCUCACCAGCAAGCAAGACAAAGGGGCUUUUAAGAGAUGAUGCUGACUCAAGGAAGGACACUGGAAUGGUUGCCAAGAAUCUGUGUUGCCCUGUGACCUGCAACAUUAGGAACACACUGGCAGCCUUGUUACGAUUUUAGCACUGGUUGGGCAUGAUCCUGUCACAGCAGAAUUUGGCCAGGGUUGAAUGGGGUGGGGUGGAGGGAUCAGAGCCCUGGGAUCAAGAAGAAGCAAAGCACCAGGGGUGAAGUGGGAGAGAGAAGCAGACAGCGGCAAGUGCCAGAGUCUAAGGCAGGCAAAAAAAGGCUAGGUUCCCAAAGCAGCCCUGUGCCUGAGGAAGUGGAACCUGCCAAACGGGAAGGAAGAGCAUAUGGGGCAUGCCAUUUAUAGAACACAGUGGAGCUACAUUGGUUCUCUGGGUCACCUGACUGGGUGCUGACGGAGUCAGCAGGUGAAGUUUCGUAACGCUGCUCAGGGGUCACCUCUGGAUAACAGUCAGACGCUCCUACUGUCUAAAUGGUGUAGGAAGCAAGGCCCUGGCGCCUGGCAUCCUAGUUUGAGGGGCCUAGCCUUUCACAGCCUUCGUCAACCUGGUGCCCUCCUGGACUGCAACCCCAAGCAGCCCCAGCCAGCACACUGGCACCAGGUUGGCAAAGACUGCCUUAGAAAUCCACUGUUGAAGGUCACCUGGCCUGAAUCUGCUGCUGGAGGACAGAUAUCCUGCAACCGUAGUAUAUUUAAGGACUCGUUUUCCUGUUAUGCUACAUAAACCAGAGUAGGGGAGCUCAUUCUGCAUACUCAACUCCUUUUAAUAUUCCCCACUUCUUGUGUCUUUCCCCUUUAUCACAAGAGAGGAGUAACAUGGGAUGCUCUUUGCAAUCAAGAGUUGACAGAAGUGAAGCAAGUUGUACGUGGUUGCAGCUAUCUGAUUCUAGCUUUUGUCCAUAUGCAAUACUCAAAGUCAUUAUACACACAUUUGGGAACACUGAAAGCUCCUCCAUCCUUUCAGCCAGCCCUGACUUUUUUCCACCAUCAAUGUAUUGGUUUUUGAAAUGGAGCAUGAAUUACUAUGCUUUGGUUUGGGGGGGGGGGCAGAAAGAGUUGGCCAGAGUGGCCUUUUUCAAAGAUAGUGCUUAUUUUCUUCCUUACGCCAUGUAAGGGAAUAGGAGACAGGUUACGUUUCUUCUCCUCGACAUGCCUGGUGGGCAGAGCAAAAAGGAGCACCAGCAGUUUGAUCCCUGCUGAAAGAACUAUGUGCAAACAGUAGAUAGAAGUAAAAUACUGCUGAAAUUUAUGGGGGAGGAAAUGGUGACUGCCUGGAAAAGUAUUGUUAUUUUACGCACUCUUCACCCUAAGUAAGUGCAAACAUAUCCAGAAGCUAAAGGGGGGAUGGGGAACCUGCCACCCUCCAGAUGUUGUUGGACUCCAACUCCCUCCAGCCCCAGCCAGCAUGGCAAAGUCAGGAAUGAUGGGAAUUGUAGUCCAAUGAAGCCUGAAGGGCCACAGGUUGAAGAACACUUAACUAGAUUUAUAUGGGUUAUUUCCAACUCUGUGAUUCUAUAAUAGCAAUUGCAAGACCACCAUCACUUUUUUCCACUUUUUAAAUGUAAAUCAUAUUGUAUCUUUGAAAUGUAUCCUGUUUAAACACAGGUAUAAAGUACAUAAUGCAGAGGAAGCAUCCUGCCCCAUUCUGUGCAAACAUACCAUUUUGUCUUCAGCACAGGGUUCAGAUUGAGCCCUUUUUUAAAAUUAACCGUUGAGAUGGAUGUAUUUUCUAUAAGAUCUAACUACAAAAUGUAGGCUUAAAUCUAAUUGCUGUCACUUAAGAUAAUGUGGGAGGCUCGCAGUUAAGGAGGAGGAAAUUAGGCUGCUGGAAAACGAGUCUAAACACCAGCCUUGUUACCAGGCAGUGUAGUUAGCUGACUGACGAAGGCAACAGUCACUAACAACACGGCCAGGUAAAAUGGCCUGUCUCACCUCUGGCUAGGAAACAUGACUGUUUGCAUGGAAGCUUUGGCAACUGAGACCUGGAAGUGGCAUUCUUUGAAGAAAAAUCAAUACAGAGGGUAAAGAACUGAAGAGGUCCCCUCCAGAAGAUGGCACCUAUGUACUUCAUAUGUACCUGCUAGACCACAUAGAUCUGGGCACUGGUGCUUGUAAGGGCCAGUGUUUGUUCCACACUUGCAAGGAAUCAAUUCUUCAGUGUGGCAGCCCCUACUCUUUGGAACACCCUGCCCCACUGAUACUACCUUUGCUGCAUUGUUAUCAGUGCCUACUAAAAAUGUUUAUCUUCCAGCAUACCUAAUGAGGCAUGUAAUUUUAGCAUACAAUUGUGAUAUGAUUUUAUGUGUAAUGUGAUUUUAGUAAGCAUAAUUGUUUUUAAAUUACUGGUUUUAUCACACAGAAAGAGAGACACACACACAUAUACAUGUAAACACUUUUUAAAUGUUUGUUUUUAUUGGUAUUUUUAAUUAAUAUUUCAGAUUGUCUUUUGCAAAUCACUUAGAGGUCUUUUGAAUCUGUGUUGAAUACAUUUUGUUAAAUAAAAAGUUAAACCUG